rnacentral:rRNA from 1 species
CGCACGGGUGAGUAACACGUAUCCAACCUGCCGAUAACUCGGGGAUAGCCUUUCGAAAGAAAGAUUAAUACCCGAUGGCAUAAUAGAACCGCAUGGUUUGAUUAUUAAAGAAUUUCGGUUAUCGAUGGGGAUGCGUUCCAUUAGGCAGUUGGUGGGGUAACGGCCCACCUAGUCUUCGAUGGAUAGGGGUUCUGAGAGGAAGGUCCCCCACAUUGGAACUGAGACACGGUCCAAACUCCUACGGGAGGCAGCAUG